UACGUAGGGUGCAAGCGUUGUCCGGAAUUAUUGGGCGUAAAGGGCUCGUAGGCGGUCCAUCGCGUCGGGAGUGAAAAGCUGGGGCUCAACCCCAGUCCUGCUUCCGAUACGGGUGGACUAGAGGUAGGCAGGGGAGAACGGAAUUCCUGGUGUAGCGGUGAAAUGCGCAGAUAUCAGGAGGAACACCGGUGGCGAAGGCGGGUCUCUGGGCAGUAACUGACGCUGGAGGAGCGAAAGCGUGGGGAGCGAACAGG
rnacentral:rRNA from 1 species